CUACGGGGUGCAGCAGUGAGGAAUAUUGCGCAAUGGGGGAAACCCUGACGCAGCGACGCCGCGUGGAUGAUGAAGGCCUUCGGGUCGUAAAAUCCUGUCAGAAGGAAAGAAGUGCAUGGUAGCUAAUAUCUGCCAUAUUUGACGGUACCUUCAAAGGAAGCACCGGCUAACUCCGUGCCAGCAGCCGCGGUAAUACGGAGGGUGCAAGCGUUGUUCGGAAUUACUGGGCGUAAAGCGCGCGUAGGCGGUUUUAUAAGUCAGAUGUGAAAGUCCACGGCUCAACCAUGGAAGUGCAUUUGAAACUGUAAGACUUGAGUAUUGGAGGGGGUAGUGGAAUUCCCGGUGUAGAGGUGAAAUUCGUAGAUAUCGGGAGGAAUACCGGUGGCGAAGGCGACUACCUGGCCAAAUACUGACGCUGAGGUGCGAAAGCGUGGGGAGCAAACAGGAUUAGAUACCCGAGUAGUC
rnacentral:rRNA from 1 species